rnacentral:rRNA from 1 species
UCUCCUACGGGACGCAGCAGUGAGGAAUAUUGGUCAAUGGGCGGAAGCCUGAACCAGCCAAGUCGCGUGAGGGAAGAAGGCCCUGCGGGUCGCAGACCUCUUUGGACGGGGAGCAAGGCCGCCGACGUGUCGGCGGAAGGAGAGUACCCGUAGAACAAGCAUCGGCUAACUCCGUGCCAGCAGCCGCGGUAAUACGGAGGAUGCGAGCGUUAUCCGGAUUUAUUGGGUUUAAAGGGUGCGCAGGCGGCGUGGCAAGUCUGAAGUGAAAGGUACGGGCUCAACCUGUACAGGCUUUGGAAACUGCC